rnacentral:rRNA from 1 species
UGGGGAAUCUUGCGCAAUGGGCGAAAGCCUGACGCAGCGACGCCGCGUGAGCGAUGAAGGCCUUCGGGUUGUAAAGCUCUGUGGAGGGGGACGAAUAAGGGCAGGCCAAUACCCUGUCUGAUGACGGUACCCCUUUAGCAAGCACCGGCUAACUCUGUGCCAGCAGCCGCGGUAAGACAGAGGGUGCAAACGUUGUUCGGAAUUACUGGGCGUAAAGCGCGUGUAGGCUGUUCGGAAAGUCGGAUGUGAAAGCCCCGGGCUCAACCUGGGAAGUGCAUUCGAAACUUCCGAGCUGGAGUCUUGGAGAGGAAGGCGGAAUUCUCGGUGUAGAGGUGAAAUUCGUAGAUAUCGAGAGGAACACCGGUGGCGAAGGCGGCCUUCUGGACAAUGACUGACGCUG